UGAGCCCUUACCCAUCCUCCCUAGGACUCUAUGAUUCAGUCCAAUAAGUGAAAGUAGCUUAAAGCUGAGCUGAAUUCUCCUCAGCUACCUUGUCCCCUGUUGUGGCAGUUGGCACAGAAAAUUCUAGAUCUUCUCCCUUUGGCUCCAUUGUGUAGGGCAUUAGCAUGCAUGCCGCGCAGAAAACUAGUCUGGGCAACUCCUUGGCAUCAUUUAUUUAUUGUGAGGAAAAUGAAAAGGGGGAUGUAAAUACUACCAGAGAAGCUCAAUGUUUGAGGAGGUGCUAGCCGGUUACUCCAAGCCCAGACUGCAUGGCUCUCACAAGUCACUCUUGACUUCCCAUACCAAUAAUUUAGGAACCUUCACCACUUUGAAAUUAAACUAAGUUUCACCGUCUGUGCAACCUUUCUGACUGAUGUAUGGAAAAUGAGCCUGACCUUUGGAGAUUUGGAACAAUAGAAGUGUGUUUGUCCAAGAUGAAAUCUACAAAAUGGGCACUUAAUAAGAUCUUCACAUCUGGCCAGUUAUUUUCUUUUUCUAGUUCAAGAACAAGAAAAUGAUCUAAAUAAAUAGAUUUUGACAGGAGGCCAAUUCUGCUGCCAGAAUUACGCUAAUUAAAUAUGCAUAAUUCUCUUAAUUAGAAAAAAAUAAAAUAAAGACCAGAUUAAGGUU